rnacentral:rRNA from 1 species
UACGUAGGGUGCAAGCGUUGUCCGGAAUUAUUGGGCGUAAAGAGCUCGUAGGCGGUUUGUUGCGUCGGCUGUGAAAUCCCGAGGCUCAACCCCGAGCCUGCAGUCGAUACGGGCAGACUAGAGUGCUGUAGGGGAGACUGGAAUUCCUGGUGUAGCGGUGAAAUGCGCAGAUAUCAGGAGGAACACCGGUGGCGAAGGCGGGUCUCUGGGCCGAUACUGACGCUGAGGAGCGAAAGCGUGGGGAGCGAACAGG